AGUGAACGCUGGCGGUAGGCCUAACACAUGCAAGUCGAACGGCAGCACAGUAAGAGCUUGCUCUUACGGGUGGCGAGUGGCGGACGGGUGAGGAAUACAUCGGAAUCUACUUUUUCGUGGGUGAUAACGUAGGGAAACUUACGCUAAUACCUCAUACGACCUACGGGUGAAAGCAGGGGAUCUUCGGACCUUGCGCGUUUGAAUGAGCCGAUGUCGGAUUAGCUAGUUGGCGGGGUAAAGGCCCACCAAGGCGACGAUCCGUAGCUGGUCUGAGAGGAUGAUCAGCCACACUGGAACUGAGACACGGUCCAGACUCCUACGGGAGGCAGCAGUGGGGAAUAUUGGACAAUGGGCGCAAGCCUGAUCCAGCCAUACCGCGUGGGUGAAGAAGGCCUUCGGGUUGUAAAGCCCUUUUGUUGGGAAAGAAAAGCAGCAGGUUAAUACCCCGCUGUUCUGACGGUACCCAAAGAAUAAGCACCGGCUAACUUCGUG
rnacentral:rRNA from 1 species